rnacentral:sRNA from 1 species
GCCAGGCAUGGUGGCGCGCACCUGUAAUCCGAGCUACUCAGGAGGCUGAGGCAGGAGAAUCUCUUGAACCUGGGAGGUGGGGGUUGCAGUGAGCCGAGAUCUCGCUAUUGCACUCCAGCCUGGGUGACAGAGCGAGACUCUGUCUAAAAAAAAGAGAUCGUGUCUAGCUAUAUUGCCUAGGCUAGAGUGCAGUGAUAUGACCAUAGCUUACACAAGCCUUAAACUCCCAGGUUCCAGUGAUCCUCCUGCCUCA